rnacentral:rRNA from 1 species
UACGUAGGGUGCAAGCGUUAAUCGGAAUUACUGGGUGUAAAGCGUGCGCAGGCGGUCUUGCAAGACAGAUGUGAAAUCCCCGGGCUUAACCUGGGAACUGCAUUUGUGACUGCAAGGCUGGAGUGCGGCAGAGGGGGAUGGAAUUCCGCGUGUAGCAGUGAAAUGCGUAGAUAUGCGGAGGAACACCGAUGGCGAAGGCAAUCCCCUGGGCCUGCACUGACGCUCAUGCACGAAAGCGUGGGGAGCAAACAGG